AUACGUAGGGAGCGAGCGUUGUCCGGAAUUACUGGGUGUAAAGGGAGCGUAGGCGGGAGUGCAAGUCAGAUGUGAAAUACAUGGGCUCAACCCAUGGGCUGCAUUUGAAACUGCAUUUCUUGAGUGAAGUAGAGGUAAGCGGAAUUCCUGGUGUAGCGGUGAAAUGCGUAGAUAUCAGGAGGAACACCGGUGGCGAAGGCGGCUUACUGGGCUUUUACUGACGCUGAGGCUCGAAAGCGUGGGGAGCAAACAGGAUUUGAUACCCUGGUAGUCCACGCUGUAAACGAUGAUUACUAGGUGUGGGGGGACUGACCCCUUCCGUGCCGCAGUUAACACAAUAAGUAAUCCACCUGGGGAGUACGGCCGCAAGGUUGAAACUCAAAGGAAUUGACGGGG
rnacentral:rRNA from 1 species